rnacentral:rRNA from 1 species
AAGGCGGCCACCUGGACAGGCAUUUACGCUUAGGUACCAAAAUGUKGGGAACAAACAGGAUUAGAUUCCCUGGUAGUCCACCCCGUAACGAUGGAUUCUAGGUUUCGGGGACGUGUUCUUCGGUGCCGUAGCUAACGCGUUAAGUAUCCCGCCUGGGGAGUACGGUCGCAAGGCUGAAACUCAAAGAAAUUGACGGGGGCCCGCACAAGCGGUGGAGUAUGUGGUUUAAUUCGAUGCAACGCGAAGAACCUUACCUAGGCUUGACAUCCUGGGAAUCCUUCA